rnacentral:rRNA from 1 species
GAUGAACGCUGGCGGCGUGCCUAAUACAUGCAAGUCGAGCGAACAGACGAGGAGCUUGCUCCUCUGACGUUAGCGGCGGACGGGUGAGUAACACGUGGAUAACCUACCUAUAAGACUGGGAUAACUUCGGGAAACCGGAGCUAAUACCGGAUAAUAUAUUGAACCGCAUGGUUCAAUAGUGAAAGACGGUUUUGCUGUCACUUAUAGAUGGAUCCGCGGCGCAUUAGCUAGUUGGUAAGGUAACGGUUUACCAAGGCGACGAUGCGUAGCCGACCUGAGAGGAGGAUCAGCCACACUGGAACUGAGACACGGUCCAGACUCCUACGGGAGGCAGCAGUGGGGAAUAUUGGACAAUGGGCGCAAGCCUGAUCCAGCAAUACCGCGUGGGUGAAGAAGGUCUUCGGGUUGUAAAGCCCUGUUGUUGGGAAAGAAAAGCAGCAGGUUAAUACCCCGCUGUUCUGACGGUACCCAAAGAAGAAGCACCGGCUAACUUCGUG